UACGGAGGGUGCGAGCGUUGUUCGGAAUUACUGGGCGUAAAGAGCACGUAGGCGGGUUUAUAAGUCAAUUGUGAAAGCCCCGAGCUCAACUUGGGAAUUGCAGUUGAAACUAUAAAUCUUGAAUGUCUGAGAGGGUAACGGAAUUCCUGGUGUAGAAGUGAAAUUCGUAGAUAUCAGGAGGAACACCGGAGGCGAAGGCGGUUACCUGGCGGUGCAUUGACGCUGAGGUGCGAAAGCGUGGGGAGCAAACAGG
rnacentral:rRNA from 1 species